rnacentral:rRNA from 1 species
CAUCACUACGCUAGAUGCAUAUCAAUAAGCGGAGGAAAAGAAACUAACAAGGAUUCCCCUAGUAACGGCGAGUGAAGCGGGAAGAGCUCAAAUUUGAAAUCUUAAAGGGUUUCCCUUUACGAAUUGUAGUUUAAAGAAGUGUUUUCUGUUGGAGUUUCGGUAAAAGUUCUUUGGAAUAGGACAUCAUAGAGGGUGAGAAUCCCGUAUUUGACCAUUACUUUCCAGCUGUGUGAUACACUUUCAAAGAGUCGGAUUGUUUGGGAAUGCAGUCCGAAAUGGGUGGUAAAUUUCAUCUAAAGCUAAAUAUUGGCGAGAGACCGAUAGCGAACAAGUACCGUGAGGGAAAGAUGAAAAGAACUUUGAAAAGAGAGUUAAACAGUACGUGAAAUUGUCAAAAGGGAAGCGUUUGACACCAGUGUUGUUUAUUCGAAAAUCAAUUCAAUAAUUUUUGAUUUUGAGUAGUAUUGACUUCAUCAGCUUGCUGCUCUCUUUUCGGAAAUUAUUGAAUGCACUUUUCAGUUAACAAGUCAACAUCAAUUUCUUUUGUUGUAAAAGGGUAAGAGGAAGGUGGCUUACGCUUCGGCGUAAGUGUUUAUAGCCUUUUACCUCUGCAAUCGGAGAGAUUGAGGUCUGCAGCGUAGAUCCUUCGGGGUUAGAUACACUUGUGCUAAGCUAUAGCCUUGUAUAGACAACUUGUUGACUAUGCUCAGUCAUGUAGCUUACUCGCUUGUGCUAUUUUACCUACGCUUAGGAUGUUGACGCGCGUGUGUGCGUG